UCCAGGGGUGAGACGGAGGGGAUAGACAGCAGAUGAAGGGCACCGAUCGGUGAAGUAUUGUUGAAGCAAACUUUUAGGGUUUCGAAACAGGUUAAACUUACUUCCUGCAGUAUGACGGUGAGAGUUAUGGUCACUUAUUGUGGAGGAUGAGGGUACAAACCUAAGUAUCAGAAGAUCAAACAGACGAUCCUCAAAAAAUUUGCUGGUAGAGAAGUGAAAGUGCACGGAUUUGCAACACAAACUGUUACUGGUUAUUUAGAGGUAGAAGUGAAUGAUAAGCUUGUUCAUUCAAAAAAGAAUGGUGAUGGAUAUGUAGACAGUGACAGCAAAAUGGAUAAGAUUAUACAAGCAAUAGAUGCUGCUCUAGAGGCUAACUAACCAUGAUCAUUGCAAGUUUGAACCAGCUGUUCGUUCUAGAAGGAUGACUUUGAAUGAUGGGAGCAGCUUAAAAACAUUAUGUUUGGCUUACUUCUUGAUAAAGUGAAGUGAUUCCGUCUAGUAGCA